rnacentral:rRNA from 1 species
AGAGUUUGAUCAUGGCUCAGAUUGAACGCUGGCGGCAGGCCUAACACAUGCAAGUCGAGCGGAUGAGUGGAGCUUGCUCCAUGAUUCAGCGGCGGACGGGUGAGUAAUGCCUAGGAAUCUGCCUGGUAGUGGGGGACAACGUUUCGAAAGGAACGCUAAUACCGCAUACGUCCUACGGGAGAAAGCAGGGGACCUUCGGGCCUUGCGCUAUCAGAUGAGCCUAGGUCGGAUUAGCUAGUUGGUGAGGUAAAGGCUCACCAAGGCGACGAUCCGUAACUGGUCUGAGAGGAUGAUCAGUUACACUGGAACUGAGACACGGUCCAGACUCCUACGGGAGGCAGCAGUGGGGAAUAUUGGACAAUGGGCGAAAGCCUGAUCCAGCCAUGCCGCGUGUGUGAAGAAGGUCUUCGGAUUGUAAAGCACUUUAAGUUGGGAGGAAGGGCAGUAAGCUAAUACCUUGCUGUUUUGACGUUACCGACAGAAUAAGCACCGGCUAACUUCGUGCCAGCAGCCGCGGUAAUACGAAGGGUGCAAGCGUUAAUCGGAAUUACUGGGCGUAAAGCGCGCGUAGGUGGUUCAGCAAGUUGGAUGUGAAAGCCCCGGGCUCAACCUGGGAACUGCAUCCAAAACUACUGAGCUAGAGUACGGUAGAGGGUGGUGGAAUUUCCUGUGUAGCGGUGAAAUGCGUAGAUAUAGGAAGGAACACCAGUGGCGAAGGCGACCACCUGGACUGAUACUGACACUGAGGUGCGAAAGCGUGGGAGCAAACAGGAUUAGAUACCCCGGUAGUCC